GAUUCCGUAGUGUAGCGGUUAUCACGUGAGUCUAACACACUCAAGGUCCCCGGUUCGAGCCCGGGCUGAAUCA
rnacentral:tRNA from 1 species